rnacentral:rRNA from 1 species
UACGGAGGGUGCAAGCGUUGUCCGGAAUCACUGGGCGUAAAGGGCGCGUAGGCGGCUCAUGAAGGCUGUGGUGAAAGUCCGGGGCUCAACCUCGGAUCGGCCGUGGCGACUCGUGGGCUGGAGCACUGUAGAGGCGGGUGGAAUUCCGGGUGUAGCGGUGGAAUGCGUAGAUAUCAGGAGGAACACCGGUGGCGAAGGCGGUUCUCUGGGCCUGUUCUGACGCUGAGGAGCGAAAGCGUGGGGAGCGAACAGG